rnacentral:lncRNA from 1 species
CACACACAAACACUAUUGUGUUUUUUAAGUUUUUGUCCUCCAGACAGUCUAGUCUAGUGGGCGUGGUGACAGGUGUUCUACAGGGUCUGUUAUGAACGAGACACAGACAGACAGUAGUGUAGUGGGCUGCUCUCUCAUGCUAACACUAAGAAGAGAUACGCAUGUUCCAGACGGCUGUUGUGAAUGAAUCAUUCCUUUGCUGUUUCCUGGACUGGUAAUCCUAUUUAUUUUUCUUCAAAUUCCCCUUAUAGAUGCUCAGUGGUACGUUGUACAUUUUAGGACAUCCCUACUCCGUAGGAGGUCCUAAAAUGUACACCGUGCAGCAUACCUUAAAGUGUUACCAAGCAAUGAUCUGAUGCAUAGAACAUACAUGUUUCUCCCCAGCCCUGGGCACGAGGAGGUAAAGGAACUCUGUAUCAAAGCUGAGAGAUACUGAGUGUAGCUGCUAUGUGUGCAGUGUGACAGCCUGGUUUCAAGAUGUCGUGCAGACACUCCCAGCGCUACACAUGUUUUACUGGUGGCAUUCACUAUGUUCCCCUGCUAUUUGACAGGAAAACCCCAGCUUGUCAUAUAUCAGUUUCUGUUGUAAAAAAAAUAUUUAAAACUUUUUUAAGUCAUCAUUUUCUAUUCUUCAUGACUGUCUUUGCCAGGGAUUACUGUAGAUUGAUAGGAAUCAUGUCACCAGGUGUAAACUGGGUGUUGAACAGGUGUCAGUGUGAACAGGUGUCAGUGUGAACAGGUGUCAGUGUGAACAGGUGUCAGUGUGAACAGGUGUCAUUGUGAACAGGUGUCAUUGUGAACAGGUGUCAGUGUGAACAGGUGUCAGUGUGAACAGGUGUCAUUGUGAACAGGUGUCAGUGUGAACAGGUGUCAGUGUGAAAAGGUGUCAGUGUGAACAGGUGCUGAACAUCCUCACAUCAAAGAUAGGAACUGAAUGACACUGAUCAUUACAGUAAAGUAAACUGGGAGCAAGAACAUACAAGGUAUAUGUGGUGUGUGUGUGUGUGUGUGUGUGUGUGUGUGUGUGUGUGUGUGUGUGUGUGUGUGUGUGUGUGUGUGUGUGUG